CUGAAACCGUGUACGUACAAGCAGUGGGAGCACCUUCGGGUGUGACUGCGUACCUUUUGUAUAAUGGGUCAGCGACUUAUAUUCUGUAGCAAGGUUAACCGUAUAGGGGAGCCGCAGGGAAACCGAGUCUUAACUGGGCGUUAAGUUGCAGGGUAUAGACCCGAAACCCGGUGAUCUAGCCAUGGGCAGGUUGAAGGUUGGGUAACACUAACUGGAGGACCGAACCGACUAAUGUUGAAAAAUUAGCGGAUGACUUGUGGCUGGGGGUGAAAGGCCAAUCAAACCGGGAGAUAGCUGGUUCUCCCCGAAAGCUAUUUAGGUAGCGCCUCGUGAAUUCAUCUUCGGGGGUAGAGCACUGUUUCGGCUAGGGGGUCAUCCCGACUUACCAACCCGAUGCAAACUACGAAUACCGAAGAAUGUUAUCACGGGAGACACACGGCGGGUGCUAACGUCCGUCGUGAAGAGGGAAACAACCCAGACCGCCAGCUAAGGUCCCAAAGUCAUGGUUAAGUGGGAAACGAUGUGGGAAGGCACAGACAGCCAGGAUGUUGGCUUAGAAGCAGCCAUCAUUUAAAGAAAGCGUAAUAGCUCACUGGUCGAGUCGGCCUGCGCGGAAGAUGUAACGGGGCUAAACCAUGCACCGAAGCUGCGGCAGCGACACUAUGUGUUGUUGGGUAGGGGAGCGUUCUGUAAGCCUGCGAAGGUGACCUGUGAGGGUUGCUGGAGGUAUCAGAAGUGCGAAUGCUGACAUAAGUAACGAUAAAGCGGGUGAAAAGCCCGCUCGCCGGAAGACCAAGGGUUCCUGUCCAACGUUAAUCGGGGCAGGGUGAGUCGACCCCUAAGGCGAGGCCGAAAGGCGUAGUCGAUGGGAAACAGGUUAAUAUUCCUGUACUUGGUGUUACUGCGAAGGGGGGACGGAGAAGGCUAUGUUAGCCGGGCGACGGUUGUCCCGGUUUAAGCAUGUAGGCUGGUUGUCCAGGCAAAUCCGGAUAAUCAAGGCUGAGGUGUGAUGACGAGGCACUACGGUGCUGAAGUAACAAAUGCCCUGCUUCCAGGAAAAGCCUCUAAGCAUCAGGUAACAUCAAAUCGUACCCCAAACCGACACAGGUGGUCAGGUAGAGAAUACCAAGGCGCUUGAGAGAACUCGGGUGAAGGAACUAGGCAAAAUGGUGCCGUAACUUCGGGAGAAGGCACGCUG
rnacentral:rRNA from 1 species